rnacentral:rRNA from 1 species
UACGUAGGGUGCAAGCGUUGUCCGGAAUUAUUGGGCGUAAAGAACUCGUAGGCGGUCUGUCGCGUCGGCUGUGAAAACUCGGGGCUCAACCCCGAGCCUGCAGUCGAUACGGGCAGACUAGAGUGCUGUAGGGGAGACUGGAAUUCCUGGUGUAGCGGUGAAAUGCGCAGAUAUCAGGAGGAACACCGGUGGCGAAGGCGGGUCUCUGGGAAUGUCCUGACGCUGAGGAGCGAAAGUGUGGGGAGCGAACAGG